rnacentral:rRNA from 1 species
UGGGGAAUAUUGCACAAUGGGGGAAACCCUGAUGCAGCAACGCCGCGUGAGUGAUGACGGUCUUCGGAUUGUAAAGCUCUGUCUUCAGGGACGAUAAUGACGGUACCUGAGGAGGAAGCCACGGCUAACUACGUGCCAGCAGCCGCGGUAAUACGUAGGUGGCAAGCGUUGUCCGGAUUUACUGGGCGUAAAGGGAGCGUAGGCGGAUUUUUAAGUGGGAUGUGAAAUACCCGGGCUUAACCUGGGUGCUGCAUUCCAAACUGGAAGUCUAGAGUACAGGAGGGGAAAGCGGAAUUCCUAGUGUAGCGGUGAAAUGCGUAGAGAUUAGGAAGAACACCAGUGGCGAAGGCGGCUUUCUGGACUGUAACUGACGCUGAGGCUCGAAAGCGUGGGGAGCGAACAGGA